CAGCCGCCACGGUAAAACGUAGGUCCCGAGCGUUGUCCGGAUUUAUUGGGCGUAAAGCGAGCGCAGGCGGUUAGAUAAGUCUGAAGUUAAAGGCUGUGGCUUAACCAUAGUACGCUUUGGAAACUGUUUAACUUGAGUGCAGAAGGGGAGAGUGGAAUUCCAUGUGUAGCGGUGAAAUGCGUAGAUAUAUGGAGGAACACCGGUGGCGAAAGCGGCUCUCUGGUCUGUAACUGACGCUGAGGCUCGAAAGCGUGGGGAGCAAACAGGAUUAGAUACCCGUGUAGUCCCUGUCUCUUAUACA
rnacentral:rRNA from 1 species